UAUCUAAUCCAUCCCAUGCUCAAAGCAGGACCAAUCCCCAGACAGAUUUCUCUACUAGACCCCUAAAUGGCUGUCUCAAGGACUGAGCUCACAACCCUGGGUUUAGCAGGUCAAUGCUCAAACCCUUGA